AUUGAACGCUGGCGGCAUGCCUUACACAUGCAAGUCGAACGGUAACGGGCCUUCGGGUGCCGACGAGUGGCGAACGGGUGAGUAAUGUAUCGGAACGUACCUUUCAGUGGGGGAUAACGUAGCGAAAGUUACGCUAAUACCGCAUAUUCUGUGAGCAGGAAAGCAGGGGAUCGCAAGACCUUGCGCUGAUUGAGCGGCCGAUAUCAGAUUAGCUAGUUGGUGAGGUAAAGGCUCACCAAGGCGACGAUCUGUAGCGGGUCUGAGAGGAUGAUCCGCCACACUGGAACUGAGACACGAUCCAGACUCCUACGGGAGGCAGCAGUGGGGAAUUUUGGACAAUGGGGGCAACCCUGAUCCAGCCAUGCCGCGUGAGUGAAGAAGGCCUUCGGGUUGUAAAGCUCUUUCGGCCGGGAAGAAAUCGUAUCAGCUAAUACCCGGUGCGGAUGACGGUACCGGCAUAAGAAGCACCGGCUAACUACGUGCCAGCCGCCGCCGUAAAAC
rnacentral:rRNA from 1 species